rnacentral:tRNA from 1 species
CCUAUAGCUCAGUGGAUAGAGCACCGGCCUCCGGAGCCGGGAGCCCAGGUUCGAAUCCUGGUAGGC